AAUGACUCUCGGCAACGGAUAUCUCGGCUCUCGCAUCGAUGAAGAACAUAGCAAAAUGUGAUACUUGGUGUGAAUUGUACAAUCCCAUGAACCAUCGAGUCUUUGAACGCAAGUUGCGCUCGAAGUCAUCAAACGCCGAGGGCACGUCUGGUUGGGUGUCACGCAACG
rnacentral:rRNA from 1 species